UACGAAGGGGGCUAGCGUUGUUCGGAAUUACUGGGCGUAAAGGGCGCGUAGGCGGUACUUCAAGUCAGGCGUGAAAGCCCCGGGCUCAACCUGGGAAUUGCAGUCGAGACUGUCAGACUAGAGUGUGGGAGAGGGUGGUGGAAUUCCCGGUGUAGCGGUGAAAUGCGUAGAUAUCGGGAGGAACAUCAGUGGCGAAGGCGACCGCCUGGCCCAACACUGACGCUGAGGUGCGAAAGCGUGGGUAGCAAACAGG
rnacentral:rRNA from 1 species